GACGAACGCUGGCGGCGUGCCUAACACAUGCAAGUCGAACGGGGAGUUAUUUAUAACUCCUAGUGGCGAACGGGUGAGUAACGCGUAGACAAUCUGCCUCUAAAUUGGGGACAACACCGCGAAAGUGGUGCUAAUACCGAAUGUGGUAACUUGGUCGCAUGACCGAGUUAAGAAAGAUGGCCUCUACAUGUAAGCUAUCGUUUAGAGAUGAGUCUGCGUCUGAUUAGCUAGUUGGUGAGGUAAUGGCUCACCAAGGCGACGAUCAGUAGCCGGUCUGAGAGGAUGAACGGCCACACUGGGACUGAGACACGGCCCAGACUCCUACGGGAGGCAGCAGUGGGGAAUCUUCCGCAAUGGACGAAAGUCUGACGGAGCAACGCCGCGUGAGUGAAGAAGGUUUUCGGAUCGUAAAGCUCUGUCGUUUGGGACGAACGUGUUCCAUGCAAAUAGUGUGGAACAAUGACGGUACCAAAGGAGGAAGCCACGGCUAACUACGUGCCAGCAGCCGCCGUAAUAC
rnacentral:rRNA from 1 species